rnacentral:rRNA from 1 species
UGGGGAAUAUUGGACAAUGGGGGAAACCCUGAUCCAGCCAUGCCGCGUGAGUGAAGAAGGCCCUAGGGUUGUAAAACUCUUUCGGCGGGGAAGAUGAUGACGGUACCCGCAGAAGAAGCCCCGGCUAACUUCGUGCCAGCAGCCGCGGUAAUACGAAGGGGGCUAGCGUUGUUCGGAAUUACUGGGCGUAAAGGGCGUGUAGGCGGCCGACUAAGUCACGUGUGAAAGCCCCGGGCUUAACCCGGGAAUUGCGCGUGAGACUGGUUGGCUAGAAUCCGGGAGAGGGUAGUGGAAUUCCCAGUGUAGAGGUGAAAUUCGUAGAUAUUGGGAAGAACACCAGUGGCGAAGGCGGCUACCUGGACCGGUAUUGACGCUAAGGCGCGAAAGCGUGGGGAGCAAACA